rnacentral:rRNA from 1 species
GAUGAACGCUGGCGGCGUGCCUAAUACAUGCAAGUCGAACGCUGAAGGAGGAGCUUGCUCUUCUGGAUGAGUUGCGAACGGGUGAGUAACGCGUAGGUAACCUGCCUGGUAGCGGGGGAUAACUAUUGGAAACGAUAGCUAAUACCGCAUGACAACAGUUAUUGCAUGAUAACUGUUUAAAAGGGGCAACUGCUCCACUACCAGAUGGACCUGCGUUGUAUUAGCUAGUUGGUGAGGUAACGGCUCACCAAGGCGACGAUACAUAGCCGACCUGAGAGGGUGAUCGGCCACACUGGGACUGGGACACGGCCCAGACUCCUACGGGAGGCAGCAGUAGGGAAUCUUCGGCAAUGGACGGAAGUCUGACCGAGCGACGCCGCGUGAGUGAAGAAGGUUGUCGGAUCGUAAAGCUCUGUUGUAAGAGAAGAACGAGUGUGAGAGUGGAAAGUUCACACUGUGACGGUAGCUUACCAGAAAGGGACGGCUAACUACGUG